rnacentral:tRNA from 1 species
UCCCCGGUAGCUCAGUGGUAGAUGCGGCGCACUGUUAAUGCGCAUGUCACACGUUCGAUCCGUGUUCGGGGAGCCA